UUAAUAGAAGCCAAAAAGAGGCUAUUCACUGUUAAUGAAUAUAUUGAAAUCCCCUAUUAAG
rnacentral:tRNA from 1 species